GUUCUGAUGUGUUUGGAAUUGUUUGUUUGGAAGGAUUUGAUAACAAAUAAAAUACAAGCAAAAAAAAAAAAGAUAUGGUCAGAACUCAGAAGGCAACACAACGAAUAGGUUGCCGAGUGGGGCUCAUGCCGUUGAUUCUUCUGCUCACUGCCCCUUCUCCUGUCUAUUCACUUCCUUUGUCCCUUAUUUUUAUCUUUAUUUUUGGUGGUGAAAAUUUAUGUUUCAUUUAUACAAGCUAAAAUGUUUUUGUUAUAAGUCAAACAAAAACAAUUAUUAUUAAUAAUAUUGGAGGCUUUUAUUGUACUUUUGGUUUGAAAUUUUCGAAACUACGUCUCUUAAUUCUCAUCCUUUGAUAUUCUGUGCAAAUGAAUAUUUAUUUU